CCACCAUGUAAACAAACAAAACAAAAACACACAAAAGAAAAAAAGACGACAGAAACAAAAGAAAAAAAAAAGAGAGGAGGGGCGCAUGUGUGGGGAUGUACAAGUGUAUUG
rnacentral:ribozyme from 12 species